rnacentral:rRNA from 1 species
GGUAACAUUUCUAGCUUGCUAGAAGAUGACGAGUGGCGGACGGGUGAGUAAUGCUUGGGAACUUGCCUUUGCGAGGGGGAUAACAGUUGGAAACGACUGCUAAUACCGCAUAAUGUCUUCGGACCAAACGGGGCUUCGGCUCCGGCGCAAAGAGAGGCCCAAGUGAGAUUAGCUAGUUGGUAAGGUAACGGCUUACCAAGGCGACGAUCUCUAGCUGUUCUGAGAGGAAGAUCAGCCACACUGGGACUGAGACACGGCCCAGACUCCUACGGGAGGCAGCAGUGGGGAAUAUUGCACAAUGGGGGAAACCCUGAUGCAGCCAUGCCGCGUGUGUGAAGAAGGCCUUCGGGUUGUAAAGCACUUUCAGUUGUGAGGAAAAGUUAGUAGUUAAUACCUGCUAGCCGUGACGUUAACAACAGAAGAAGCACCGGCUAACUCCGUGCCAGCAGCCGCGGUAAUACGGAGGGUGCGAGCGUUAAUCGGAAUUACUGGGCGUAAAGCGCACGCAGGCGGUUUGUUAAGCUAGAUGUGAAAGCCCCGGGCUCAACCUGGGAUGGUCAUUUAGAACUGGCAGACUAGAGUCUUGGAGAGGGGAGUGGAAUUCCAGGUGUAGCGGUGAAAUGCGUAGAUAUCUGGAGGAACAUCAGUGGCGAAAGGCGACUCCCUGGGCCAAAGACUGACGCUCAUGUGCGAAAGUGUGGGGUAGCGAACAGGAUUAGAUACCCUGGGUAGUCCACACCGUAAACGCUGUCUACUAGCUG